rnacentral:rRNA from 1 species
GACGAACGCUGGCGGCGUGCCUAAUACAUGCAAGUAGGACGCAGUUGCGAACGGGUGAGUAACGCGUAGGUAACUACCUAUUAGAGGGGGAUAACUAUUGGAAACGAUAGCUAAUACCGCAUACUAGUAGAUGGACCUGCGUUGUAUUAGCUAGUAGGUAGGGUAAUGGGCUACCUAGGCAAUGAUACAUAGCCGACCUGGGGAGGUGGACGGCCACACUGGGAACGGGACACGGGCCAGGCCUCUAAGGGGAGCAAGAGGAGGGGAUCUUCGGGAAAGGGGGGAAAGCUGAACGGGGAAAGCCGCGGGGGUGAAGAAGGGUUUCGGAUCGGAAAGCUCUGUUGAUAAGGGAGCGGUACUUAACCAGAAAGGGACGGCUAACUACGUGCCAGCAGCCGCGGUAAUAC